rnacentral:rRNA from 1 species
GAUGAACGCUGACAGAAUGCUUAACACAUGCAAGUCGAUGGGGAAGUGGUGCUUGCACCAUGGCAACCAUGGCGGACGGGUGAGUAACGCGUAAGGGACUUACCUGCAGGACUGGGAUAACAGGGGGAAACUCCUGACAAGACCGGAUAAUGUCAUGGAGCUGCAUGGCUUUAUGAUGAAAGGAGACGCCUGCGGAGAGCCUUGCGUCCUAUUAGCUAGUUGGUGAGGUAAUGGCUCACCAAGGCGAAGAUAGGUAGCCGGCCUGAGAGGGUGGACGGCCACAAGGGGACUGAGAUACGGCCCUUACUCCUACGGGAGGCGGCAGUGGGGAAUAUUGGACAAUGGGGGCAACCCUGAUCCAGCAAUUCUGUGUGCACGAAGAAGGUUUUCGGAGUGUAAAGUGCUUUCAGCAGGGAAGAAGUAAGUGACGGUACCUGCAGAAGAAGCGACGGCUAAAUACGUG